AUGUCAACCAAGAAAGUUGCUGUGGCUGAAUUCCAGAUCACAAUAAAGAAGUCUCGUAAGAUCUGCUCUUCUACAAAUUUUCUCCAGUUUGGUAAGCAGUCCAAUGAUCUUAUCGGUGCUUGUCCAGAUGCAUAUGUUGGCCUUAGGCGCUUGUGGCUGCGCAAUAUGAGAUUUGGUGAACUCGACAUCCCCAACAUUUUCAGCACUUGCAAGCUUUUUGAGUCUUUGCGUUUAACCGAUUGCGACUCAGGGAUCUAUUCUGUGCUGCAAGUAGAACAUGCUGAACUUGUUGAGUUCAAGGUCGACAGGGGGAAAUUUGAGAGAAUUGAACUGGCAUAUCUACCAAAACUCCAAAGGAUUUGGGUUCUUCCAGAAUCCCCGAAGCUGCUUACUCAUGUGGUCAGCAAACUGCAUCAUGUGAAUCCGGGUCAUCUUUCUGAAGGAUGUGAUUUAGCUUGGACAAUGUUUAUUCUUGAAGCUGCACCGUCCCUAAAAGAGCUCUACAUUAGAGUAUGGGAUCAUUGGUGCAAAAAGGUGACAUACAAAGAGUUACGGAAGAAAUAUGGUUUGUGCAAAAAGGCAGAGGUGAAGUGGAAGCCAUAUGCCCCUUAUUUCAAGCACAAGAAUCUGCCCUCACUUACCAUCUAUGGCUUCCAGCCCGACGAUAACUUUCUGACCUACAUCAGGCGUGUUGUGGAAGCUGGGGUUAAUAUGGCAGAGAUACAUCUGCAUGACAGGAAGGUGUGUGGGUGUUGUAGUGACCUGGAUCCUGUGAUCAAGGGCAAGGUUUGUCCAUCAAGAUAUCCACGAACCACUGAGGAGAGGAAGCAGACAACCGAGGGGUUGGGUUUGAGUUCACGUGUUGUGAUUCACUUUCCGUCCUAA
rnacentral:rRNA from 1 species